UCUGCAGAUCUCAGAAGAGCAGCUCAGCCUCCACCAAGUCACCAUGACCACCACCUCUCUACUGAUGAUGAUGCUGAUGCUGGCAGUUACUUGCUAUGCUCAGGACAUUGAGCUCAUCCAGCCAAGUAACCUGGUGGUGACUCCUGGCCAGUCUGUCUCCAUCUCCUGUAAGGUCUCAGGGUUCUCCAUUAGCAGCUAUUGUCCUCGCUGGAUACGCCAACGAGCGGGGAAGCCCUUGGAGUAUAUUGGGUGGAUUUGUUCUUCAAGCAGCUCUGUCAUAGACUCAUUAAAGAGCAAGAUCAGCUUCACUGCAGACAGCAGCAGUAGCACCGUGUUUCUGAAAGGCCAGAAUAUGCAGCCUGAAGACACAGGUGUCUAUUACUGCGCCCGAGAGACACAGUGA